GACGAACGCUGGCGGCGUGCUUAACACAUGCAAGUCGAACGGAAAGGCCCUGCUUUUGUGGGGUGCUCGAGUGGCGAACGGGUGAGUAACACGUGAGUAACCUGCCCUUGACUUUGGGAUAACUUCAGGAAACUGGGGCUAAUACCGGAUAGGAGCUCCUGCUGCAUGGUGGGGGUUGGAAAGUUUCGGCGGUUGGGGAUGGACUCGCGGCUUAUCAGCUUGUUGGUGGGGUAGUGGCUUACCAAGGCUUUGACGGGUAGCCGGCCUGAGAGGGUGACCGGCCAAAUUGGGACUGAGAUACGGCCCAGACUCCUACGGGAGGAAGAAGUGGGGAAUAUUGCACAAUGGGCGGAAGCCUGAUGCAGCAACGCCGCGUGCGGGAUGACGGCCUUCGGGUUGUAACCCGCUUUCGCCUGUGACGAAGCGUGAGUGACGGUAAUGGGUAAAGAAGCACCGGCUAACUACGUG
rnacentral:rRNA from 1 species